GACGAACGCUGGCGGCGUGCCUAAUACAUGCAAGUUGAGCGCUGAAGGUUGGUACUUGUACCAACUGGAUGAGCAGCGAACGGGUGAGCAACGCGUGGGGAAUCUGCCUUUGAGCGGGGGACAACAUUUGGAAACGAAUGCUAAUACCGCAUAAAAACUUUAAACACAAGUUUUAAGUUUGAAAGAUGCAAUUGCAUCACUCAAAGAUGAUCCCGCGUUGUAUUAGCUAGUUGGUGAGGUAGAGGCUCACCAAGGCGAUGAUACAUAGCCGACCUGAGAGGGUGAUCGGCCACAUUGGGACUGAGACACGGCCCAAACUCCUACGGGAGGCAGCAGUAGGGAAUCUUCGGCAAUGGACGAAAGUCUGACCGAGCAACGCCGCGUGAGUGAAGAAGGUUUUCGGAUCGUAAAACUCUGUUGGUAGAGAAGAACGUUGGUGAGAGUGGAAAGCUCAUCAAGUGACGGUAACUACCCAGAAAGGGACGGCUAACUACGUG
rnacentral:rRNA from 1 species